rnacentral:tRNA from 1 species
AAUAAAAUAAACUAAAUAAAGUUAUUAGAUUCAUAAUCUAAAAAUAGAUUUUUUAAUUCUUUUUAUUA